rnacentral:rRNA from 1 species
AGUGAACGCUGGCGGCAGGCCUAAUACAUGCAAGUCGAACGGCAGCACAGUGGAGCUUGCUCCAUGGGUGGCGAGUGGCGGACGGGUGAGGAAUACAUGGGAAUCUGCCCAGUCGUGGGGAUAACGUAUGGAAACGUACGCUAAUACCGCAUGCGCCCCUUCGGGGGAAAGGUACGGGGGACCGGCCAAGGCCUGACGCGAUUGGAUGAGCCACUGUUCGAUUAGCUAGUUGGCGGGUAACGGCCCACCAAGGCGACGAUCGAUAGCUGGUCCGAGAGGAUGAUCAGCCACACUGGAACUGAGACACGGUCCAGACUCCUACGGGAGGCAGCAGUAGGGAAUAUUGGAC